AGAACGAACGCUGGCGGCAUGCCUAACACAUGCAAGUCGAACGAGACCUUCGGGUCUAGUGGCGCACGGGUGCGUAACGCGUGGGAAUCUGCCCUUAGGUACGGAAUAACAGUGAGAAAUUACUGCUAAUACCGUAUGAUGUCUUCGGACCAAAGAUUUAUCGCCUAGGGAUGAGCCCGCGUUGGAUUAGCUAGUUGGUGGGGUAAAGGCCUACCAAGGCGACGAUCCAUAGCUGGUCUGAGAGGAUGAUCAGCCACACUGGGACUGAGACACGGCCCAGACUCCUACGGGAGGCAGCAGUGGGGAAUAUUGGACAAUGGGCGAAAGCCUGAUCCAGCAAUGCCGCGUGAGUGAAGAAGGCCUUCGGGUUGUAAAGCUCUUUUACCCGGGAAGAUAAUGACUGUACCGGGAGAAUAAGCCCCAGCUAACUCCGCGCCAGCAGCCGC
rnacentral:rRNA from 1 species